CCUACGGGAGGCAGCAGUGGGGAAUAUUGCACAAUGGGGGGAACCCUGAUGCAGCGACGCCGCGUGGGUGAGGAAGUACUUCGGUAUGUAAAGCCCUAUCAGCAGGGAAGAAAAUGACGGUACCUGACUAAGAAGCCCCGGCAAACUACGUGCCAGCAGCCGCGGCAAUACGUAGGGGGCACGCGUUAUCCGGAUUUACUGGGUGUAAAGGGAGCGUAGACGGCGUGCCAGGUCUGAUGUGAAAGGCCGGGGCUAAACCCCGGGACUGCAUUGGAAACUGGCAUGCUGAGGUGCCGGAGGGACAAGCGGAAUUCCUGGUGUAGCGGUGAAAGGCGUAGAUAAUAGGGGGAACACCGGUGGCGAGGGCGGCUUGCUGGACGGUAACUGACGUUGAGGCUCGAAAGCGUGGGGAGCAAACAGGAUAGAUACCCCAGUAGUC
rnacentral:rRNA from 1 species